rfam:Vitis vinifera, whole genome shotgun sequence of line PN40024, unordered unoriented unplaced sequences
UUUUGGUGCAAUGAUGAUAAAUGUUAAUCCCAGCUCAUUAUGAGACCUUGGAAGGUCUGGGAAUAGAUUUUGUUGUCAUAUAUCUGAGCUGGUG